UAUGCAGAGAAAUCUUCAAUGUCUCUGCUCAUUUCCACUCAAACCCUAGGAAAUCCCACGUAAUCUCUACUCCCUAAUUCCUGCUGCGUUCUCUUCUUCUUCCCCUUUUUUUUUCUUUUAGAGAAACAACAUUAAUUAUUAGAUGACUAUUAGAUAGCAAAGAACAGCAUAUGUGACCUUUGUGCUGUGACUUCCUGCUUGCUCUCUUCUUAUAAAUACCUGGGGAUUCAGGUAGCAGCAGUGAGGCCCGCAGCCCUUCUGCCCACUGGGAGGAUGACACUCUCCAUGACUGCCCUCUCCUUCCUCAUUCUGGCUGCUAACCUUGGAGUCCAGGCCAGCAGCCCAUUUGGAUCAGAGAAUAAACCAAGUAUCCAGACAGCUUCACUUCAUCGGCUAAUUACUGCUGCUACACCUACACUGACAAAAUCAUCCGCUGCGCCAACAUGAUAGAUGGCUUUGAAACCAGCAGUCAGUGCUCCUUAGCAGCUGUCAUCUUCCGCACUAAGGGGGGACAGGUGGUCUGCACCAACCCUGCACACAGUGAAGUUCAAGAAUGUAUGGCAGA